GAUGAAGAACGCAGCGAAAUGCGAUAAGUAAUGUGAAUUGCAGAAUUCCGUGAAUCAUCGAAUCUUUGAACGCAUAUUGCGCCCCCUGGUAUUCCGGGGGGCAUGCCUGUCCGAGCGUCAUUGCUGCCCUCAAGCACGGCUUGUGUGUUGGGCCCCCGCCCCCCGGCUUCGGGGGGCGGGCCCGAAAGGCAGCGGCGGCACCGCGUCCGGUCCUCGAGCGUAUGGGGCUUCGUCACCCGCUCUGUAGGCCCGGCCGGCGCCCGCCGGCGACCCCAAUCAAUCUUUCCAGGUUGACCUCGGAUCAGGUAGGGAUACCCGCUGAACUUAAGCAUAUCAAUAAGCGGAGGA
rnacentral:misc_RNA from 1 species